rnacentral:rRNA from 1 species
UACAGAGGUCUCAAGCGUUGUUCGGAUUCAUUGGGCGUAAAGGGUGCGUAGGUGGCGCGCUAAGUCAGGUGUGAAAUUUCGGAGCUUAACUCCGAAACUGCAUUUGAUACUGGCGUGCUUGAGGACUGGAGAGGAGACUGGAAUUCAUGGUGUAGCAGUGAAAUGCGUAGAGAUCAUGAGGAAGACCAGUGGCGAAGGCGGGUCUCUGGACAGUUCCUGACACUGAGGCGCGAAAGCCAGGGGAGCGAACGGG